rnacentral:rRNA from 1 species
CGGGAGAUAGCUGGUUCUCCCCGAAAGCUAUUUAGGUAGCGCCUCGUGAAUUCAUCUCCGGGGGUAGAGCACUGUUUCGGCUAGGGGGCCAUCCCGGCUUACCAACCCGAUGCAAACUGCGAAUACCGGAGAAUGUUAUCACGGGAGACACACGGCGGGUGCUAACGUCCGUCGUGAAGAGGGAAACAACCCAGACCGCCAGCUAAGGUCCCAAAGUCAUGGUUAAGUGGGAAACGAUGUGGGAAGGCCCAGACAGCCAGGAUGUUGGCUUAGAAGCAGCCAUCAUUUAAAGAAAGCGUAAUAGCUCACUGGUCGAGUCGGCCUGCGCGGAAGAUGUAACGGGGCUAAACCAUGCACCGAAGCUGCGGCAGCGACGCUGAUGCGUUGUUGGGUAGGGGAGCGUUCUGUAAGCCUGCGAAGGUGGCCUGUGAGGGUUGCUGGAGGUAUCAGAAGUGCGAAUGCUGACAUAAGUAACGAUAAAGCGGGUGAAAAGCCCGCUCGCCGGAAGACCAAGGGUUCCUGUCCAACGUUAAUCGGGGCAGGGUGAGUCGACCCCUAAGGCGAGGCCGAAAGGCGUAGUCGAUGGGAAACGGGUUAAUAUUCCCGUACUUGGUGUUACUGCGAAGGGGGGACGGAGAAGGCUAUGUUGGCCGGGCGACGGUUGUCCCGGUUUAAGCGUGUAGGUGUGUGUUCCAGGUAAAU